CCUCCCCCUUUCACUUUGCCACCUGGACUUAUGUCUUUAUUGGUGAUUCAAGUGGAGCAAAGAAAAUAUCUUUUUAAAACUCAAGCAAACUGAUUAUCUUGUAUUCUGUCAGGGAAAACAAAC